GCUUCCCACUUCACAGAACUCAAGGACUAGAGAAGAGCAAAGUACUGGGCAAGAAGAGGUGCAGGCUGAAGUAGCCAUAAAUUUCACUUUUGUUCUACAUACUUUCAGGACUGGGAGUGGAUCUAGAGUGCACUCCACUGAUAUAAUUUGGGAGGUUAUGAGUGCAAGGUGGGCAGGAAGGUGAAGGACUGCCUUUCUUGAAACUGGUGUUUGAAGCCUCACUGAAUUCAAAACAACUACUGUGAAUCACCACAACUCCCUGUUUCUGGGGGUUCAUACUGGGAUCAGUAAACAGGAUAGAGUUUAUUAAUUACCAUGGAAAAGCAGCAGGGGAAGAAAUCCAGUUGGACUAGCCAGCCUUCACUACAUCCAAGAUUAGCAUGGAGGACCAGACCAGGUUACGCUGCAGCAUGUGGCCCAUUGUGAGCAAUUCUGUCUGCAGGUUUUGUCCCCAGCUGUAAG